GGUUGUGGGAGGCGGUGGGAUCCGGAAGGUCUGAGACCCCGGACAAUUACAGCUGCUUCUUUAAGCAAAAGUCAGAGUUGUCUGUGUGGGUGACAGAAACGAGAAUGUGACAUAAAACGCAAAACUGUGCCUGCGCGGAAUGUGCAAUUUUAUACUAACUACACCAGAACGGAAUUUCUCUUUAUUCCCCUUGCAUGUGGGAGGCAGAUGCAACCCUGGGCUGGGUUCCAGGGACUUUGCGGGGCCAGGCCCUGGGCUAUGGGGAUGCAAGGCUGACACGUUGCUUUAAAAGAACAACAUUUUGUUCUUGUAUGGAUAGAAAUUCAUUUUUCUUUGUUUAAAUUUAAAUUGUUAUACUAAUCCACACCUCUACAGAGGAAUUAAUAAUCCAAAUACAUUUGAGAGCUACUGGAUAGCAUCCUGGAUUUCCUAAAGUCAUUAAUUACUAAAUGUAAUUGAAAUUUUAAUUUUGUAAAUUUUUCUUCUCAGUUAUUUGAAACAUUAUUUUUAACUUGAAAAUUAAAUUAGAUAGAUCAGGUAUUUUAACCUCUUUUUUGUUCUGAAUGUUUUAUCCAUGUGCAGAUAAUUAGGCUUGUAAAAGGGGGACUCUUUGGGAGGUAUUUGGCUUUGCUUUUAACUAAUGAAAUAUCAAUUUUGAGGUAUUUCCAGAGACACGUGAUAAGGAUGUGUAUCCCUUUAGUGAACAAUAAAUCCAAAAGUAUUACUAGCUUUCCACUUUUGCAAUAGCAUUAUUUACACCGUUAAUAAUUUUUAAUUAGAAAUAUGCGAGUUAAUAGUUCCUUUUCUGUUCCCUGUGGAAAUUCUGAGGGUGGUGCUGGCUGGAUUUUGGAUCAACCGGAUCACAUCUGUACAUGUUCCAGAAAUUACUCAAAGGUUAUUUUCAGUAAACAGCACUCUUCAUUUGCCCCAGAACACCAGUUUCUCAAACUUUUAAGGAUUUUUUCCCUCUAUUAUUUUACUGAGGUUUUAUUUGUUUUAAGUACUUAAAUACUUGGACUGAAAUGGAUUGAAACUUUGGAAGAUCAAUUUCUCUUGGGGAAGAAAACAGAAGCGACCCCUCCCCUGUCCCUCUCUCUCCGCGGACUCCCUGUGCUGAGCUCACUUCCCUGAGCUCUGGUCACUCCAUACGGAUGACUUGCAAGCAGCGGAUCUCCAAGGAGCCAGGACUGUGCACCAUUUGGGGUCAAGAGGUGCUGAUAUCUGAACUCCCCAUCUAGCUUUUCUUCAGCCACCUUGCCUUACAUGGGGGCCCCUAACCCACAUUUUUAAUUAAAUAUUCUCCUCUUGUGUUGACAUAUAACAUGUGCUUGGUAAUUUUCCUGACCAACUGAAGUGAUUUCUCUUGGGCCCAGACAGGAAACUGAUUGACUGGAGGCUCCCAUGCUCCCCAAGAGAAGCUGGGCCCAUAAGAUGCUGUCUGAGUAAACCAAGGUCUAGUCGCCAGCUCAGUGGCUCUCCUUUUCCUGGCUGGGAAUUAUUUCUGGUUCAUAUAUAAGGUAUCUGAAGUGGGAUCAGAGGGAGGCAACCCCCAAGAGUUGGCAGCCUCUGGAAUCUAGCAGGGUACCCAGCUCAAGCCCCUCGUGCUCACUGCUUCCAUGAGUCACUGCCUACUUUGUUUGAUUAAAGAACCUUUCCCAGAUUCCAAUUUAAAGGGCCCCACUGAUCACAGCCUAGAGCCCAUGACUGGGUAUCUGGAAACAUCAUUAGAGGAAGACAGCCACGGAGCCCCAUCAGAAAGGGCCUUCUCAACUCCUUCAGAUGACCGGAAAGCCAGUCUGCCUUCAGACACCACAGGAAAGCUGGCUCACAAAAACAACUUCCAGGAAGAGAAGUAGCCGACAUCUGUUGUAGACAGCUGUCCCAAGACCUGUAUUUCCACUUCCACAACUACUUAAUAUUACCAGUCACAUUUUUCAAAUGUUAUUUAAGAUAUUUCUGAUACUGUGUUUGUUUUUCCAAUCCACAUCUGAACGGGACCCAGAUAGCAAUGUCCUUUUACAGUGGGCUCAUUCCUUUGCUACACACAAAAAUCAACCUACCUGUUGGAUAUGUGGGCAACUCCCUCUUUCUAGUUCAUCUGGGUUACCUUGGUAGAUUAUUCCCCUUCAGGGCAGACUGGAAAGCUCUGAAACAAUUUAUUGUGAUGGAAAGAUCUAGUUCAAGCAUUCACAGCACAUCUGACCUUUCUAAUUUUGACCCUGACACCUGGCCAAUAGCCCAUCCUAUUAAUGAUACAGUGCAUAACUACUUUUUUUCUCUUGCCAAAACCACCCAGUUAUCUCAACAAUUUUCAAUUACAGCAAAGAAACUAGAUACUAUGAACAGAACCAUGACAGGUUUCACUCAGAUCUUGGAUGGAUAUAUUUGGCUGACUCCUAGCUAUGGAACUUUAGACAUACUGGCACCUUUAUGCUGGGAACAAGGAAAUCAUUCUAGACAAAGUCAACCUAACUGCACUCGAGACAUGGGAUGGAUAUCCUGAGUCAUGCAAAAAUACCAUUAGACUUAAACAAGGUGACUGGUUUGGGACAGACUUGUCUCUACAACCAAGCAUUUACUGAGUGACCAAUAAAAGACUUCAGUGGUGAUGUGAACAAACCUUUGGCGCUGGCUUCCACCUGGCUGGCUAGGGCAUCGCACGCUGCUUUCUUUUGGAUGCAAGGAAGGACUCACCCUAAAUUAACAACUGUCACUAAUCUCCCUUUCCUCAAACCCAGAUGGACUCAUGCAAUUUUUCACUGGUAUCAUCACCGGGGUGCUAUAUUCCUUCUAUAGGAUUAGAGGAUGUCAUAUCACAUAUAGAAGCCCUGACUAAGCUCACUCAACAGGCCCUUAAUGAUAGUCAAACUGAAUUAUCAUUAUUGAAUACUAAAAUGUCUUUAACGAGUAAAGCCUUCCUCUAAAAUAGAAUGGCCCUCGAUAUUAUAACUGCAUCACAGGCUGGUACAUGUGCAAUCAUGCAAACUCAAUGCUGUGUUUUUAUACCUGAAGAGUAUCCCAAUGUGUCAUCUCUGCUAAAUCUCAUGAAAAAGCAAGUAAAUGACCUUAGCGAUCCUACCCCUAGUCUAAAUGAUUUAUUUAGUUGUCUUUCUAUGGGCAUCAGCACACUUCUGUGAUCCAGAUUUUAUCUCCUAAUUCUGUUAUUCCUUCGAAUCCAGGUAUUAAGCAUAUUUAAACUAAUCAUUGUUGUCUUUACUCAGUGCUGUAAAACCAGCAUUCAGGCUACAGUGAUGGUCUCGUGAUGACGAGAGCCAAUACACUUGAUUCCCCAACUUCAAGGUCUCUUCAAGACGAUCUCAUCAAUGUAUAGGCACAUCUUAUUGAAUUUGGCUCUCCCUCAUCUUGUCUGCCUUGCUGCUCAAAUGUGGCCCUGCCUAACGAUAAGUAAGAGAUUACAUGUAGAACCUCAUUCCUAUUUCCCCAUUCCAUGCCUUCCAGAUCUUUUUAGUUGAUUACCCUCAAGUCUGGGUUACCUUGUAAGAUUGGAUUUCCAGGGCCUUGUGUUAUCAUUGGUUUUAGAACUAAGCAUCUGGUUCUUCUUUAAAAUAAUUCCAGCUUGCUUCCACACAUGCCUCUGGGAAACACCAACCCGAAUCAUGAUGACUCAACAUUUUCCAACCAUAAAUGUAACCAUCACCAGAACCUCCAAGAACUUCCACUCUGAGACCUCAAUUGACCUAUGACAGGUACCUGGAUGGAUCCCUAACCUGCAUGACCCAAGUUACUCAAUUCAAUAACUGAGUCCCACUAAGCCCACGAGUCCCUCUGUGGAACUAGAUGGACCCGAGGUAGGCAGAGGCCACUUCAGCACCGAAAUGGGACAAACACCAAACUGAUCAUCAGUGCUGCCUGUGGCAGAUUUUGAACAAAAGGGAGAAUUAUGGAAUUAGAAUUUUUAAAAAAGAGGACCCUGAAAAGAGAAAGACAAAAUGAACUCUCUGUGGCUAACUGGGACCUAAAAAAAACAGUCAAAUGGCCCUGCAAAGUGCAGUCACGCAGUCUCUUCUCAGAAAAACUACAACUCAUACCUGAAACAGCAUUCCUUCCUGGCAGAUGGCCAGAAGGCUGAUAUAACUGAUCUUAGAACACCAGUAUCUAUAGGGGAACUGAUGAAUCAGAGGACUUUGAAAAUAAUCCCUGUGGUCUAUGGUUUUUGCCUUUAUAAACUCUGGCUUCUGAUACCCUCUCUGGAGCGAGCUUCCAGUUUAUUCCAGAGGCUGCAUCUCCCUGGUUUGCAAACUGUAUGAGCAAUAAAGAUUCCCUAACUACAUUCUCAUGUUCCAGAUAUUUUUUGUUGACAAUGCUAUUGCACAUUUAAUAGGCUACUGUAAAGUGUAAACAUACCUUUUAUACACACUGGGAAACCAAAAACUUUGUGACUCAUUUAUUGCAAUAUUUCUUUAUUGCAGUCAUCUGGAACCGAAGCUAUGGUAUCUCUGAAGUUUGCCUGUAUAUGAAAUUUCUAGUUUAUCUAUCAA